UCACAAACGCCCAGUUAUCCUUCAGUGAGUGACUGGAUAAGCAGACCGUGGCACAUCCACAGGAUGGAAUACUACUCAGCAAGAGAGAGGAUUGUGUGUUGGUACAUACACCCCCACGAAUUGAAUUCUGAGUACAUUACGGUUUGACAGUUUUCCUUCCAGCUGUAACUCCAGUCUGAGAUCUGACAAAAAGCAGGUAUCCAUCCAUCCAUCCAUCCAUCCAUCCAUCCAUCCAUCCAUCCGACAAAUGAUAUGGAACACAACUGCUAUUCAUCUGCCAGCUUCCUUCAUUAUAAAAGUUGCAAUAGAGUGGGGGUGACAGAAAAUGAGCAAGGGGAAAAUAAGCACAUUUGUGACCGAAGAGGGAGCAGUGGGGCUGGGUUACACCUGGGGCCUGGACGCUCCACUCUGGUGGUUAGUGGAAGUCUCCCUGCAAGGUGGACUUCAGACCAGGCUGAAGGAGAGGAAUCCAGAGAACACCCGAGGAGCCAGUGAGACCAAUGGCAGCAGCCGUGAUUGAUUUGGCAGUGAUUGGGUGCCUGGCACCGCCCAGGGGUUUUGAACCCACAUCCCUCAUUUCAUGUCACACUCUGCUGGCCUGUGGCUGUCUCUACUCUCUGCAGUGGGCCUCUGAGGCUGAGGAGGUCAUAGGACCCCGUCAGUCACUGGGGGAAGCAUGGUCCCUAGCACGGCUGCCUGACUCUGAGGCUGUGCUUGGAGUGGACCUCAGGGCUAGCCCAGCUUUCUUCAUCAAGUGCCACGUCCCGUGAUGUCCCGGGAUGAAGAAGGGCUCCCUCUCACAGUGUCUCCCUCUGGUGUCCAUAAGGCGAGAGGUGGAGAGGGCUUUCUUGGUUGAGCAGGUGGUCUCAGAUGUCCUAUUUGGCAAAUGGGGGGCAUACGCUCAUCUCCCAGAAUUUCUAUGAAGGUUCAAUGAAAUCUUGAUGAUGUGAAAAUUCUGGGAGUCCAGCCAAGGACAGCAUCCAAGGUAGUUGCUUACCAGAGUGUGUGUGCAUUUUCUGUUUGUGUAUCUGCACACCUCUGGGGGUGGAAGUCCCUGCUGGGCGGCACGUCCACAGGCCCACGAAAACCUCCCAGACAGCGGGGCAGCUUCCACCGUGGCCACCUGGGAAGGCCCCGUGUCUGCUUCCUCCUUGUGGGUGGAGGGAGGGGGAAAGCGUUUCUUUUUUGUUUUGUAAUUCAGCAAGCCAGCCCUGCUUCCCAGGCCUCCCACCACACUUUCUGCCACCUUCUCUGACCUACCUGACUAGGAAGUCAUCCUUCUUUCUUUGAGCAUUUUUUGGAUUAAAAAAAACAAAAACAAUAAAACUGGCCAUUCCCGACAAGCAAUCCUCUUGUUUAUUGAUUUGCCCUGUCAGGUUCUUUUAUGCAGACAUACAUUUAAGAUAAAACUUCAGUCUCUCCUUUCAUGACAAUCAAUAAUGCAUUGUGCUUUCUGGAGCAUUCCUGUGUCCAUGUGAGAUCUGUGCUGGCUCUUGG
rnacentral:lncRNA from 10 species